rnacentral:rRNA from 1 species
AUUGAACGCUAGCGGGAUGCUUUACACAUGCAAGUCGAACGAGUGGCGGACUGGUGAGUAAUAUAUCGGAAAGUGCCCAGUAGCGGGGUGUAACUCCUCGAAAGAGUGGCUAAUACCGACUCCUAUUGUAGCUGCCGAUAUCGGAUUCGCUAGUUGGUGGGGUACAGGCUCACCAAGGCAACGCUCCGUAGCUGGUUUGAGAGGACGACCAGCCACACUGGGACUGAGACACGGCCCAGACUCCUACGGGAGGCAGCAGUGGGGAAUUUUGGACAAUGGGGGAAACCCUGAUCCAGCCAUCCCGCGUGUAUGAGAAGGCCUUCGGGUUGUAAAGUACUUUUGGCAGAGAAGCGGUAUCUGCAGAAUAAGCACCGGCUAACUACGUGCCAGCAGCCGCGGUAAUAC